UAUACUUACUCUGUACUUCUUUCAAGGAUAUCAUUUCAGCAAGUUUUCUUACCGAGCUAUAUGGGAGGACUGCAGAGAAAUCUCUCUGGCCCUGGACAGAAGAAGCAAACAUGCAUGCCAUGUGUCCUUCACACAACUUGAAACUGAAAUAACCAUGCUUUGAAAACUGCCGUAGAGAAUUUGACUGUCUUCAUAGCGCUCUGACUUUGUAUUUCAGUUUUGCCUGAAAACCUUUGGACCAACACAACCUGGGAAAGGAUAAGAUGAACAAAAGAGACUGCAACAGAAAGUGGAUAGAGGGUCACUCUAUGGGAAGAAGCUGGAGUACUUGGAGAGAACCCACGCGAACAUGGAGAGAACAUGCAGACUCCACACAGAAAGAUCCCAGCCUGAUGAAAACCGUCGUAUGUACAAAGAGAAGAUGCUUCCUUACAACAUACAGUCAUAUCACCCCACAGCAGGAGAGCUAUCUGCGCCCUGUCUGUCACGGACCUGGGUCUGAAGGACCCAGGGUCUUUGAAUAAGUAUGGACAUGUAUUUUUGGUGCUGCUGUCCUGUUUCCUUGUGUUUGUGUAUAAGUGUGUGUGUGUGUGUGUGGCAGAGCACCUGUUUUUCAGCCCUGGUGGGCAUGUCAGCCAGGAGCCUGGCCACACCUGCGGAGGAGAAUCACACACACCUGAAGUUGAUCAAGCCUCGUCAGGGAGCUAUUUAACAGUUUGGCUGAGGGCUCCUCGACGCUGGAUUGUUGUGAGGAGUGUGGAAACAGGAGGGCAGCAAGCACGGGGAUUGCGAGAACACGGGAGUGGAGAGCACAAAGACAUGGAUUUUGGGAGAAGACACAACACGGGAGUCAAGGGAGCACACAGGGAUUUAUUGUUAUUUUCCUGCACUGUAAAUUAACGCACUGUUGCAGUGAAGAGUCCUGCGUUUUGGGUCCUAUUUUCCCCACACCCCCACGACCGUGACACUAUUAGUUGGAAUGUGCCCUCACUAAAUUAUUAUUAAUGUAUUUAUUAUUGAUGCUUAAACAAUAUUGAAGUGAUGUGCAAGUCACUUUAACACCCCACUCACACAAUGUACAUUCUCGAAUUUUGAACUGUAAAUUUCCAGAUUGUUUUAUUUAAUUUAAUUUACUUAAUAUAUAUAAUUCACUCAC